rnacentral:rRNA from 1 species
GAUGAACGCUGGCGGCGUGCCUAAUACAUGCAAGUCGAGCGAACAGACGAGGAGCUUGCUCCUCUGACGUUAGCGGCGGACGGGUGAGUAACACGUGGAUAACCUACCUAUAAGACUGGGAUAACUUCGGGAAACCGGAGCUAAUACCGGAUAAUAUAUUGAACCGCAUGGUUCAAUAGUGAAAGACGGUUUUGCUGUCACUUAUAGAUGGAUCCGCGCCGCAUUAGCUAGUUGGUAAGGUAACGGCUUACCAAGGCAACGAUGCGUAGCCGACCUGAGAGGGUGAUCGGCCACACUGGAACUGAGACACGGUCCAGACUCCUACGGGAGGCAGCAGUAGGGAAUCUUCCGCAAAGGGCGAAAGCCUGACGGAGCAACGCCGCGUGAGUGAUGAAGGUCUUCGGAUCGUAAAACUCUGUUAUUAGGGAAGAACAAAUGUGUAAGUAACUAUGCACGUCUUGACGGUACCUAAUCAGAAAGCCACGGCUAACUUCGUG